rnacentral:tRNA from 1 species
GGUAUCUUGCCCGAGUGGUCUAAGGGGGCGGACUUAAGAUCCGCUAGCUGCGUGGGUUCAAACCCCACAGAUACCA